rnacentral:rRNA from 1 species
GGAGCAUGUGGCUUAAUUUGACUCAACGCGGGAAAUCUUACCGGGUCCGGACACACUGAGGAUUGACAGGCAAUAUUAAUUUCAUAUAAUUUCAAUUCCGAUUGUUCCUAUUAUGAUCUUAUGUUAAAUAUGCUAGUCCUUUCAUGAUUAUGUGAUAGGUGGUGCAUGGCCGUUCUUAGUUCGUGGAGUGAUCUGUCUGCUUAAUUGCGUUUCACUAAGGGCCUAUAAAUUUACGUGUGUUGCGGCACUUUGACCCCUCAUAUUUUUUUUAAAAAAUGUGAGCGCGUGUCUUAGUUUGUUUAGCUCGCACAAUUAGGUCCUGAAAGCAACGAACGUGACCGCAACCUCUUGUUGCCUUUAUACCAAACAUAUAUUGUCUAACACUUUUUUUAAAGUGAUUUAGCUUUGUAUGAAAAAAGGCUUUUUAAACUAGAGGGACCGCUGUUACUUUCUUAAACCAGAGGAAGGUUGCGGCAAUAACAGGUCUGUGAUGCC